rnacentral:rRNA from 1 species
AUUGAACGCUGGCGGCAUGCUUUACACAUGCAAGUCGAACGGUAACAGGGAGCUUGCUCCGCUGACGAGUGGCGAACGGGUGAGUAAUGCGUCGGAACGUGCCGAGUAGUGGGGGAUAACGCAUCGAAAGGUGUGCUAAUACCGCAUACGAACUGAGGUUGAAAGUGGGGGACCUUCGGGCCUCACGCUAUUCGAGCGGCCGACGUCUGAUUAGCUAGUUGGUGAGGUAAAGGCUCACCAAGGCGACGAUCAGUAGCGGGUCUGAGAGGAUGGUCCGCCACACUGGGACUGAGACACGGCCCAGACUCCUACGGGAGGCGGCAGUGGGGAAUUUUGGACAAUGGGCGCAAGCCUGAUCCAGCCAUGCCGCGUGUCUGAAGAAGGCCUUCGGGUUGUAAAGGACUUUUGUCCGGGAGCAAAUGCUGGUGGCUAACAUCCACCGGAGCUGAGAGUACCGGAAGAAUAAGCACCGGCUAACUACGUGCCAGCCGCCGCAGUAAUAC